rnacentral:rRNA from 1 species
AGUGGCGGACGGGUGAGUAACGCGUGAGAAUCUGCCUUCAGGUCGGGGACAACAGUUGGAAACGACUGCUAAUACCGGAUAUGCCGAGAGGUGAAAGAUUAAUUGCCUGGAGAUGAGCUCGCGUCUGAUUAGCUAGUUGGUGGGGUAAGAGCCUACCAAGGCGACGAUCAGUAGCUGGUCUGAGAGGAUGAUCAGCCACACUGGGACUGAGACACGGCCCAGACUCCUACGGGAGGCAGCAGUGGGGAAUUUUCCGCAAUGGGCGAAAGCCUGACGGAGCAAUACCGCGUGAGGGAGGAAGGCUCUUGGGUCGUAAACCUCUUUUCUCAGGGAAGAAAAAAAUGACGGUACCUGAGGAAUAAGCAUCGGCUAACUCCGUGCCAGCAGCCGCGGUAAUACGGAGGAUGCAAGCGUUAUCCGGAAUGAUUGGGCGUAAAGGGUCCGCAGGUGGCCAUGUAAGUCUGCUGUUAAAGAAUGAGGCUCAACCUCAUAAAAGCAGUGGAAACUACAUAGCUAGAGUGCGUUCGGGGCAGAGGGAAUUCCUGGUGUAGCGGUGAAAUGCGUAGAUAUCAGGAAGAACACCGGUGGCGAAAGCGCUCUGCUAGGCCGUAACUGACACUGAGGGACGAAAGCUAGGGGAGCGAAUGGGAUUAGAUACCCCAGUAGUCCUAGCCGUAAACGAUGGAUACUAGGCGUGGCUUGUAUCGACCCGA